rnacentral:rRNA from 1 species
UGGGGCUUAACCCCACACGUGCCGUUGAUACAGGGGUUCAGGAGCACGAGUGAGUCUGAGGGAAUGUGCAGAGUAGCGAGAAAAUGUUUGGAUAUUGCACAGAACAGGGAUUGCGAAGGCAGCUGGCUAACUUGCAUCUGACGCUGAGGCACGACAGCGCGGGGAGCAAUCAGGAUUAGAUACCCUGGUAGUCCACGCCGUAAUAUAUGAAUGCUCUCUGUUCGGCUCUAUGCGUUGAGCGGCUAAGGGAAAUCUUUAAGCAUUCCACCUGGGGAGUACGACCGCAAGGUUGAAACUCAAAGGAAUUGACGGGGGCCCGCACAAGCGGAGGAACAUUUGGUAUAAUUCGGUGAUACGCGAGGAACUUUACCCGGGCUUGAAAUAGAUUGGAAUAGCGGUGAAACCCGUGAACAAUCAAGACAUUCUGUAGGUGCAGCAUGGUUGUCAUCAGCUCGUGCCGGAGGUGUCGGCUUAAGUGCCACAACGAGCGCAACCCUUGCUUUCGGUUGCCAGCGGGUAAUGCCGGGGACUUCGGAGGGACAGCCGCCGUAAGGUGGAGGAAGGUGGGGAAGACUUCAAAUCAGCACGGCCCUUACGUCCGGGGUGACACAAGUGUUACAAUGGGCGGUACAGAGGGCAGCGACACAGCAAUGUGAAGCAAAUCUGUAAACCCGUUGUCAGUUAGGAUUGGAGUCUGCAACUCGACUCCAGGAAGUUGGAUUCGCUAGUAAUCGCGCAUCAGCCAUGGCGCGGUGAAUACGUUCCCGGACCUCGUACACACCGCCCGUCAAGCCAUUGAAGUUGGGAGCGCAGGAAGUACGUAACCACAAGGAGCUCCUAAG